UACGUAGGAGGCGAGCGUUGUCCGGAGUUACUGGGCGUAAAGGGUGCGCAGGCGGCGGUUCGCGUGGCGAGAUGAAAUCUCCUGGCUUACCUGGGAGGAUGGUCGCCAGACGGGAUCGCUUGAGGGUCGGAGAGGGGCGUGGAAUUCCGGGUGGAGCGGUGAAAUGCGUAGAGAUCCGGAGGAACACCGAUGGCGAAGGCAAUCCCCUGGGCCUGCACUGACGCUCAUGCACGAAAGCGUGGGGAGCAAACAGG
rnacentral:rRNA from 1 species